UACGGAGGGUGCGAGCGUUAUCCGGAAUUAUUGGGCGUAAAGAGCUCGUAGGCGGUUUGUCGCGUCUGCUGUGAAAACUGGAGGCUCAACCUCCAGCCUGCAGUGGGUACGGGCAAACUAGAGUGCGGUAGGGGAGGUUGGAACUCCUGGUGUAGCGGUGGAAUGCGCAGAUAUCAGGAAGAACACCGAUGGCGAAGGCAGAUCUCUGGGCCGUAACUGACGCUGAGGAGCGAAAGCAUGGGGAGCGAACAGG
rnacentral:rRNA from 1 species